rnacentral:rRNA from 1 species
GACGAACGCUGGCGGCGUGCCUAAUACAUGCAAGUAGGACGCAGUUGCGAACGGGUGAGUCACGCGUAGGUCACUGCCUAUUAGAGGGGGAUAACUAUUGGAAACGAUAGCUAAUACCGCAUACUAGUAGAUGGACCUGCGUUGUAUUAGCUAGUAGGUAGGGUAAUGGCCUACCUAGGCGACGAUACAUAGCCGACCUGAGAGGGUGAUCGGCCAAACUGGGACUGAGACCCGGCCCAGACUCCGCCGGGAGGCAGCAGUAAGGAAUCUUCGGCAAUGGACGAAAGUCUGACCGAGCAACGCCGCGUGAGUGAAGAAGGUUUUCGGAUCGUAAAGCUCUGUUGUUAAGGAAGCGGUACUUAACCAGAAAGGGACGGCUAACUACGUGCCAGCCGCCGCGGUAAUAC